rnacentral:tRNA from 1 species
CAUUAAGAAGCUAUGAACCAGCAUUAGCCUUUUAAGCUAAAGAAAGAGGGCUCUCCCCCUCCUUAAUGAU